UACGUAGGGGGCAAGCGUUGUCCGGAUUUAUUGGGCGUAAAGAGCGUGUAGGCGGCCAGAUAGGUCCGUUGUGAAACCUGGAGGCUUAACCUCCAGCGGUCGAUGGGAACCAUUUGGCUAGAGUCCGGAAGAGGAGAGUGGAAUUCCUGGUGUAGCGGUGAAAUGCGCAGAUAUCAGGAAGAACACCCGUGGCGAAGGCGGCUCUCUGGGACGGUACUGACGCUGAGACGCGAAAGCGUGGGGAGCGAACAGG
rnacentral:rRNA from 1 species